rnacentral:lncRNA from 10 species
CCCGCGUGGGCCAGGGGUGGCACAAGAGUCACUCUCAGGGUGGGCCAAAGGGUAUCACAGAGACAGCCCGGCCCUGGAGCCAUGCAGACCAGGAGCCGGGUGCCACCUCCAACACCAACUCACAGUGACUUUGGGCAAGUCCUUUUUUUGUCUUGAACCUCAGUGGGCCUAGUCUUGGCAACUGUGCAGUCGAGUGUCCAGCCCAGGGUCUAGACCAGAGCCAGUGGCAGCAAACAGCCCUGUUAUCAAGAAGCAACAUAACAAGAAGAAAGGAGAAAAAAGGUGCCCUAACUGUAAAAUAGGGCUGGCAACAGGACCCGGCCCUUGCCCUUGUGAAAACGAAGCCAGCUGAUACCCAAGGCCUGCCACAGAAUCAGCCCCCAUCCUGAGCCUGCAUCAGCCAAGAAGGAAAAAGGUUCCACAGCCAACUGCAACCAGUGCUUUGCCUACAGGAUAUUCCAUUUGGAGCCCCAGGCCCAUGUGGCCCUUCUGCCAGAGCCAGGGAGCCCACUGCAGCCCUGAGGGCACUCACAUGGACAUGUUCUGGAAGCCUGUGCCAUUCUCCCAGCUGUCGAAGACGGGGAUUGUGCAGGGUGAGAGAAUGGUCCUCCAUGGCCCAGGGACAUCACCCAGGCAGCACUACCCACUGGGUGCAUAGGUGCAUGCCGACAGGGAAACUGAGGCGAAGAAGGGGCAGGGAUCCCACAGCAGUCGCACCACAAGGCUGGUCUCCCGCCUCCUGGUCCCCACCCUCUGGAGAAGCACACCCAGUUCUAGUGGACUAAAUGGGACACAAGGAAGCGUGAUGUGCCACAGUGCAGGGCAGGCCCAGCACUGUGGCAGCGGAAUACCUGAAAUGGAAGUGCAGCAGGACUGUGAUCAGCGAGGCCACGAUGGAGAUGCUGCAGCCCACGAGGGAGAUGGCUGCAUCUCCUCCCAAACUUCCCAAGAUCCCAGGCCUUCCCUCCAUGCUGUUCCUGAGUUUUGGAUGUUUACCU